GAUUUGAAGAAAUGGGCUUGACGUUCUGAGAGAAGACAGAAAAGAUAGAAGAUAUUAAAUAUACUUCAAGAAAGGGCAGUUUUGAGAGAAAUAGUGGGGACUUUUAUGUCAGUCUGUGCUGGCCUGAAAUCCAGAGAAGUAAAACUCCAGGUCCUUGAGAAAUGGCAAGGACAAAACUAAAAGGAACUCAGGUGGCUCUUUGUGUUUCGGAGCAACUGUUGUGAGGUCUUCAGGGUUUCAGCUGGCCCAGAGAGAAAGGGACAAAAAUCAUGCUGAAAACAUUGAAAGAGAGGAGUAGUGGAGAGAAAUGAAAGAUGAGUAGGCGUGGGAAAAAGAGACAGAACAAGCACGGCUGAAGAGUCAGAACAGACUACAUAUUUAUUUUCUUUAAAAAGGUGUGUUUCCUGUCCUUCCUAUUUGGAGAAACAAUGCACCUGUGAGUGGCAGCCAAGCUUAUGAAGUGGU